rnacentral:rRNA from 1 species
GAUGAACGCUGGCGGCGUGCCUAAUACAUGCAAGUCGAGCGAACAGACGAGGAGCUUGCUCCUCUGACGUUAGCGGCGGACAGGUGAGUAACACGUGGAUAACCUACCUAUAAGACUGGGAUAACUUCGGGAAACCGGAGCUAAUACCGGAUAAUAUAUUGAACCGCAUGGUUCAAUAGUGAAAGACGGUUUUGCUGUCACUUAUAGAUGGAUCCGCGCCGCAUUAGCUAGUUGGUAAGGUAACGGCUUACCAAGGCAACGAUGCGUAGCCGACCUGAGAGGGUGAUCGGCCACACUGGAACUGAGACACGGUCCAGACUCCUACGGGAGGCAGCAGUAGGGAAUCUUCCGCAAUGGGCGAAAGUCUGACGGAGCAACGCCGCGUGAGUGAUGAAGGUCUUCGGAUCGUAAAACUCUGUUAUUAGGGAAGAACAAAUGUGUAAGUAACUAUGCACGUCUUGACGGUACCUAAUCAGAAAGCCACGGCUAACUACGUG